rnacentral:rRNA from 1 species
AUGGGACAAAAUGUAUUCAACCAAGCGCUCCUAGCAAAGCAAGUAUGGCGAAUCCUCACUAUGCCCGGAUCUCUUUGUGCAAGGGUGCUGAAGGCACGGUAUUUUCAAGACAUGGAUAUCAUGUCAGCCACAUGUCCGAAAGAAGCCUCAUAUACAUGGCGAAGUUUGAUUCAUGGCAGG